rnacentral:rRNA from 1 species
CAAUAGCGUAUAUUAAAGUUGUUGCAGUUAAAAAGCUCGUAGUUGGAUUUCUGGGAGGGUGCCAAUGUCCGUCGUCGUACGUGUUGCAGCGGCGCCCUUCCAUCCUUCUGUUAACGACUUUGGGCAUUCAUUUGCCGGAGUCGGGCUCAGAUAUUUUACCUUGAGAAAAUUAGAGUGUUUCAGGCAGGCUAGGCCGGAAUACAUUAGCAUGGAAUAAUGGAAUAGGACUACGGUCUCUUUGUUGGUUUGAGGGACUGCAGUAAUGAUUAAUAGGGAUAGUUGGGGGCAUUAGUACUUGUAAGUCAGAGGUGAAAUUCUUCGAUUUUACAAAGACGAACUAAUGCGAAGGCAUCUGCCAAGGAUGUUUUCAUUGAUCAAGAACGAAAGACAGGGGAUCAAAGACGAUUAGAUACCAU